GAUGAACGCUGGCGGCGUGCCUAAUACAUGCAAGUCGAGCGAACAGACGAGGAGCUUGCUCCUUCGACGUUAGCGGCGGACGGGUGAGGAACACGUAGGUAACCUACCUAUAAGACUGGGAUAACUUCGGGAAACCGGAGCUAAUACCGGAAAAUAUUUCGAACCGCAGGGUUCGAUAGUGAAAGAUGGCUUUGCUAUCACUUAUAGAUGGACCUGCGCCGUAUUAGCUAGUUGGUAAGGUAACGGCUUACCAAGGCAACGAUACGUAGCCGAUCUGAGAGCGUGAUCGGCCACCCUGGCUCUGAGACACGGUCCAGACUCCUACGGGAGGCAGCAGUAGGGAAUCUUCCGCGAUGGGCGAGAGCCUGACGGAGCAACGCCGCGUGAGUGAUGAAGGUCUUCGGAUCGUAAAACUCUGUUAUUAGGGAAGAACAAACGUGUAAGUAACUGUGCACGUCUUGACGGUACCUAAUCAGAAAGCCCCGGCUAACUACGUG
rnacentral:rRNA from 1 species